UGGGGAAUCUUGGACAAUGGGCGCAAGCCUGAUCCAGCCAUGCCGCGUGAGUGAAGAAGGCCUUAGGGUUGUAAAACUCUUUCGCCGGAGAAGAUAAUGACGGUAUCCGGAGAAGAAGCCCCGGCUAACUUCGUGCC
rnacentral:rRNA from 1 species